CAGCAGCCGCGGUAAAACGGAGGGUGCAAGCGUUAAUCGGAAUUACUGGGCGUAAAGCGUGCGUAGGCGGUUCGUUAAGUCUGUUGUGAAAGCCCCGGGCUCAACCUGGGAAUGGCAAUGGAUACUGGCGAGCUAGAGUGUGUCAGAGGAUGGUGGAAUUCCCGGUGUAGCGGUGAAAUGCGUAGAGAUCGGGAGGAACAUCAGUGGCGAAGGCGGGCAUCUGGGACAACACUGACGCUGAGGCACGAAAGCGUGGGGAGCAAACAGGAUUAGAUACCCGUGUAGUCCCUGUCUCUUAUAC
rnacentral:rRNA from 1 species